GACGUAGGGCGCGAGCGUUGUCCGGAUUUAUUGGGCGUAAAGAGCUCGUAGGCGGCCUUGUAAGUCGGAUGUGAAAUCCCUCGGCUUAACCGAGGACGUGCAUCCGAAACUGUGAGGCUCGAGUAUGGAAGAGGGUCGCAGAAUUCCCGGUGUAGAGGUGAAAUUCGUAGAUAUCGGGAGGAAUACCAGUGGCGAAGGCGGCGACCUGGGCCAAUACUGACGCUGAGGUGCGAAAGCGUGGGGAGCAAACAGG
rnacentral:rRNA from 1 species